AACCACCACAAGAUAAACAGGAGAGAUACUUUGUGCAUUUUACAGAUUAAUGGUAACAAGUACAGAAUUCCAAGGAUCACUGCUAUGGUUUAAAUGUUCGUGUCUCAAAAAUUCCCAUGUUGGAACUUAAUACCCAAUGUGGUAGUAUUAAGAGGUGGGACUUUUGGGAAAGUGAUUAAGUCAUGAGGGCCCCACUCUGAGGAAUGGAUUAACGCUCUUACAAAAAAGUUGGUGAGCCCUAGUUCCUCUUUGCCCUUCCCUCUCUCCCACCAUGUGAGGACACAGCAUUCAUGCCCCUUCACCCUCCAUGGUGUGAGGAUGCACUAGAGGUGCCAUCUUGGAAGCAGAGAGCAGCCCUUACCAGACACUGGAUCUCUAGUGCCUUGACCUUGGACUUCCCAGCCUCCAGAAUCCAAAAAUCAGUUCCUAAUAUUUAUAAAUUACCCAGUCUAAGGUAUUUAGUUAUAGCAGCAUGAACAGGAUAAGAUAAUCACAAAUAUAUAUGUACACAUUUGGAUAUUUUGGAGACUUUUUACUAUACCCAAGCAAUGUGUUUGGAGAAAUUAGUGCUCUUGGAUUAUAUAAAUUCCCGUCACUCAUUUGUAACCCAUCUGUAGAGCAGUAAUAAUAAUACUCAGUGACAAUGAGGACCUCAUGAGUUUCCGUAAAAGGUUUUCUCCUCAUCAGUGGGCAGUAGCCCCCAGCCACCUCCUCUCUGCUGCCAACAGGGAUCUGAGUGCCUUUGCCCAGGCUCAGUGCUACUCAAUGCCUUAACUUUCUGUUUCCUUUCUAAAAGGUUGCUGCUUCUCUCCUGUUUAUGAUGACCCUGUCUCACCCAUCGCUGCCAUAGCAUUUUAUUACUGGCCCCACAGCUGAAGGGUGGCCGGGCAGAUGUAGGCCUCGGGUUUGCAAAGUUGCUUCCAUGAUGUUUCCUGCAUAAACCAUCUUGGAAGGACAACUGCCAAUGGUAGCAUAUUAUCAUGCCAGCGUUUUCCUGACUCUGAGCUGAAGAGUUCAAAAAACAAGAAAGAAAAGAAGAGAGAGAAAGGAAAAGGAUGCCAAAAAGCAGUAUCUUGCAAUGGACAUUUCCAGCUCCAUAAAUGAGGAGUUCAUGUAGAUAUUCUGGGAACUAUUGAAGUGGUCUGGGAUUAUCCCAUCUCCCCACCUCCACCCUGACUCCCCAAGACAUUUUUUUAAAACCAGGCUUCUGUUACUAAUUGUUCCUUCUUAACUCACCAUCCAGUGCUUUGAAGUAACUAUAUUAAGGCAACAGACAUACUGUAAGCAAAUGGCAGAGUACUGAAAUACGGAACCCAAAAUUAUUUUCAGCUUAAUACUAAUCUAUUUCACCCUUCACAAUCUCUGGAAUUUUGCUUUGACUGGGAAUCAAUGUUUGAUGAAAAAGUCUUCCCUUCUUAUGUUUGCAUCUAGCAAAGGUUAGGCCUUAAAUGCCCCUCCUUUUUUUCCACAGGACUUCAUGUGCAAGCGCUUUGCCUUAAUGAGUACUGCAGCAAAUGCACAGUGAGGGACUCUUACCCAAGGUGGGAACAGCAAGCAGUGGAUUGAAAGGGCUGGGACCCUGGACCCAGGCUUGUUCUUGGAUCACAGAAACCUAGAAUGAAAUCUGUGCUGCCUGCUACAACCUGUGGCUUUGGAUUUUCUCGAGGCCCCAGAGCGUCAGAGGAAGUUUUCCGAAUGGCACUCUGCGUGGGAAGGAGCUUGUGCACGUGCACGCUGCCACCAUCUGCCCUCAGCGCUGAUUCAGGAGGCGCUUCUCAACUAUAGCCCACAGUGUGACAACUGAACGUGUCCCCUCACGUUUCCAAAUACGGGGGGUGCAGGAGGCACUGCUCACUGUUGCACCCCCUGACCCACGCUGCCAGUCCUGCCCUCACUGCUGGGUGCUCACUGGGACCCUGGAAAGGUCUAGCUGAGCCUUUUAGGGCAUGAGGAUGUUGGGAGAAUAGAGGUGGCUCCUCUGAGAAGCCUGAGAAGUGAUCAGGCCAACCUUAGAAUCUCUGACUACUAGAGGCUUGACUUGCAGUGAAACCCGUCCUAAUUGAUGAAGAUCCUGUAUCGAGUUAGAGAAAUGGAAGAAACGACGCGGGGGUCUGGUUUGCCAGCCAACAGCUGUGGCUUAAAUCUGAGUCCUUUGGAAAGAAAGGAAGGCAUUCCUUUUAUUUCUAAUAUGGCUAAGGUGCAACAGAACCCCUGAAAUUUACCUGGCUGUGUAGCUGCCCAAAAUAAAGACUUUCCUUUCCCACCACCCCUGCAGCUCCAUGUGGUGUGUGGGCAAAUCCUGGCUGAUGGGAUGUGGGUAGAAGAGACGUGUGCUCAGGAAGAUGGCCCACGCAGGGAAGGAGCAGGUCUUGCGCUCCUCUCCAUCCCACUUGCCAGAAAAUUGCUGCAGUGGACACUGUGGCACUAUAGGUUCUGUGGACGCCACGGGCAUGGUGGUGAGCACCUUCAGCUGCAUGGAAGAGGUGUCAUUUCAGGGCGGUUCUGCACACAAUCUGCCCUGCACACAGGAGCUACUGUAUGAACCUCGCUCCCAGUGUGUGAGGAGAGAAGGACAGAAAUUGGGUCAGCUUUGAUAAACUUUCAUAGUACCUUGAUAUUGCCUUGACCUUCAAGCACAUGAUCUGUGGACCCACCUCAAUAUAUUGACCAGGCCUGGGCAUGAGUCAGGCACUUUUUAAGCCCAAUAAAGCUACAUAGGGGUCUGAGAUCGAUUGGAAAUUUAAAUGAUACUAGAAAUAAUGACAGUCGUACUCCAGAUUGUGUGAGAAACACAUCUGUAAGGGACGGCAGAGUCACGGAGAAAAGGAGGCAGGGCCUGGGUACCAUGGAACCAGCCGAACAGCCCCACCACGAAUCCUCCUACCUUUAGAGAAGAGAGAAACUCUUCCCUGGUUUAAGCUGUCAUAUUUGGGGGCCCAUUUGUUUCUCAGCCUAAGCUGUACCCCGUCGGGUGUGCCUAUAUGUGAAUAGCGUGUGGGCUCAGCUGAUGGACCAGACAUUCCAUGUACUGGCGCAUAACAUUCUGACUCGCGUGCAGUAAGAACAAAAGGAAAUACAGCCCAAUUUGGUAAAAUUCUCUCACAGCCUGGAAAAGAGCAUCCCGAACAGUGGAGAGGAAGAGGGAGUGAGGCCCUGUGGACACAGCAGAGGAAUCCACAAUGGAUUUGCAGCAGGCUGGUGGAGGCAGAGCAGAGAAGGGCGGGAGAGGGCCAGCGAAGGCCUGGGAAGGUGGACCCACAAACUCGUCUCCUAAUGAAGCUAACCAGCAAUGCGAGGGCACACAGGGAGACCCCCUAGAGGCUGCCCCAGGCCAGGAGUCACCUGUGAACUGAGGUGGCCAAGGCAGGUUCUGUGGCAGAGGGUGAAUGCCUGCAGAUGAGAACCAGCCGCGGUGCCCAGAAAGGAACAGUGUGCGGGCCUGACGGGAGCCCCCAUCAAUACAACCAGCUCCUGCUCAGAACUCUCUUCAGGCAGACAAAUAGAAGAUAUGUUUCUACUUCCCCAGGCCUCAGCACCAUGACUAUUCUAGUCCCAGUGGAUACCCUGCUUCAGGUUUUAUGCAGCUGAGUUGAAAAAGAAUAACAGAAUAGGAGGAAAACAAGGGGAAGAAGGUAGGUGGGACGCCCCAAAUCAUCUUGAGUGCACUCCAUAAAAGAAAGAGGCAUUAAAGCAGCCCCCUCUCCUAUCUCAAGCCAUCCUUCAACUUAUAGGGACUUUGCACAUAGUUGCUGCAGGUUGGCCUGCCUCUGUCAGAGGUGUUUAAACCAGAUUGACUCUCUCUUGUAUAGGGGCUGGGUAAAAUGAGGCUGAGACCUACUGGGCUGCAUUCUCAGGAGAUUAGGCAUUCUAAGUCACAGGAUGAGAUAGGAGGUCGGCACAAGAUACAGAUCACAAAGACCUUGCUGAUAAAACAGGUUGCAGUAAAGAAGCCGGCCAAAACCCACCAAAACCAAGAUGGUGACGAGAGUGACUCUGGUCGUCCUCACUGCUACACUCCCAUCAGCGCCAUGACAGUUUACAGAUGCCAUAGCAACGUCUGGAAGUUACCUGUACGGUCUAUAAAGGGGAGGCAUGAAUAAUCCACCCCUUGUUUAGCAUAUCAUCAAGAAAUAACCAUAAAAAUGGGCAACCAGGAGCCCUUGGGGCUCCUCUGCCUAUGGAGUGGCCAUUCUUUUAUUCCUUUACUUUCUCAAUAAACUUGCUUUCACUUUAUUCUAUGGACUCGCCCCGAAUUCUUUCUUGUGAGAGAUCCAAGAACCCUCUAUUGGGGUGUGGAUCAGGACCCCUUUCCAGUAACACCCCUAUUGUGAGAAGAUGCCUUAAAUGGCUGGAGUUCUGGUGCUGAGCUGUGUUUUCACUCUGGGUAGUUUGUUGUUAGCUUUUUUAACAGCUUAAUUGAGAUAUAGGUAAGAUAUAGUUCACUAGUUAAGAUACAGUUCCGUUCUGGUGUUGCUGUAAAGGAAUACCUGAGGCUGGGAAACUUACAAGAAAAGAGGAUUGUUUGGCUCAUGGUUCUGCAGGCUGUACCAGAAGCAUGGCACCAGCAUCUGCUUCUGGUGAGGCCUCAGGAAGCUUCCAAUCAUGACAGAAGGCCAGGGGGAAGCAGGCAGAAGUGUUAG
rnacentral:lncRNA from 10 species